rnacentral:lncRNA from 1 species
ACUGUUUCCUACUGUUCCCGACCCACACGUACGGCACCGUUGCACCAACGAUGGUUGAGAAAGUGAAGUAAUGGAACCCGCAGAUGGCUCUGCAGAACUCUUGCAUCUCUACAUCGUCUGAGGUCAGGACCAUGUACAAGCCGUUGAGAGAGUUUAGUGGUAGCUUGUUGGCGACGGCAGUUCUGAUGAUGGACUGGACAGAGAAGCGACUGAGUUGAGAUCCAUGAGAGUAGGUUGAGUCGUGGAACUCUCCGGACAAGACAAGUGUUCUGGUGAUGUUGGAACCUGUUUGGUCUCUGUAAAGCCUCACCGUCUUCCACCAGUCGAAUACUGAAGGAUACCGUGCCGGUGAAGAGACGGAGUAGAUGAAGUCUCUGAUUGUAGACUGGUGAGUUGGGUUCCAUCGACCGUACCAUAUGAUGUAAAGACUAGUCUCAGGCGAGGAUAUGACCGGACCCAUGUGGUAUUCAAGGUUUACAAGAUCGGAGGAGCCUUCGUAGUUCUUGCUUUCGUCGUAGAGUUGUCCAUCGGAUGUGAAAGAGAGUGAGAGGAAGAACAAGAAGAUGAGAGAGAUCAUCUUCUCAGGGGUUUUGUUUGUGAUUUGGUGAGUGAAGAACUUGGAGAUGUUAUUGGUGUUAUAAAUAGAAAGGUACAUGCACUCCAAAGUAGAAGAUAUUAGAUUAGAAACUCCAUUUGUAUGUAAUUUUUAAGUUUUAUACAUUAUGAUAUAUGUAUAAAUCAAUGAGGCUGUCGGUUAAGUAGAACUUUUAAGCUUGAUUGGUGGCACUGUUAGGGUUAGACAUAGAGCCCCACUUGACCAAAAGCAUGUUUACCACUAAUGAUUUCUUGUCAAAACUAAUGAAAAGAGGUACUAUGACCAUUAUUACAUAAAAUAGUAUAAGAUCCAAUAUCGGAAAGUGAAAAGCUUUAGAUGUUAGCCUAGAGAAUAGAGUAACGCAUUAACAUAAAAUUUCAACAGAGUUGGGAAAUCAUCUGGCAAGUUAUUUAAAUCAAAGAAAACAUUUUGUAUAUUCAAAUCUAAUAGUAUAACUUUUGAAUUAUAUGCUAUUCAUAAGUUUUAGUAAAUCUACAAAAUUAACAUGAUCAGUGAUCAAGAUUUACCAUCUAUCAUCGCUAGUCAAGUCACUUUUACAGUUUGACUAAACCAAUGGAAAGUCGUUAAACCUUUAAUUUUUAGAUUCUUGACAUAAUAGUAGACAUUAUGCUGAACAGUUCUAUAUGUAUUAGAUUAAAAGUUUAAAUAAAUUUAUUUAUAUUAAUCUGUAAUUGCAUCUUAUAGAACUUGAACAACAUGUUUCUUUCUUUGUACAAAAACAUUAAUGAAUUUUGAUCAAACACCGGAUUAGAACUUCUGUAUUUGUUUAUAUUUAUGUCUUAUUCUAGUAAAAAUAGGUUUAAGAAAAAUUAUCUAUAAAAAUUCUUUUAGAAAAUUUUAAAUUUUUUUUCUCAACUUGGGAUCCUCCUGAUUUUCUGAAAUGAAUUACUUAAAUUGACAAAAGUUUUAUCCCCGUGGAAAGCGACCUUUUUGCUUUUAACCAACCAACGCUCUUUUUCCAGAUAUGCGGUAGUCGGAACUGUGUUCUAAUUGGCUAAACCGGAAAUCAAAAGUCAAAACUUCUUAACCGUUACUCGGUUUAAUGUCCCACAUGGGUAUUAGUAUUACCUUUGAAUUUCAUAGAACUUAUGUUCAUGCAGUUCUGCUACAGUCUUCGAAUGUUAUUUUCGUACUUAAAGAAUAAUAAUACUAUGAACAAUUACGACAUAAAAUUUUUAGGGGAUUUAAUCAAUCGCCAUCAAACCAAACCGAACCGGGAACUGGUAAAGGGGAUCCAUUUUCGGUUUACUCCCCUUAACUUUCAGCUAAAAAAAACUUUGGUUUCUUUAGUUUAGGCUCACCAAGGUGCAACGAGAUGCUAACCUCAUCUUCUUCUUCAGAACUGCUCUUUAAAGCGACAAGAUCAUCAACUUUGAGUUUCUCUUGCCUUUGACUAGUAGAAGUAGACUCGUUAAACGACAACGGAGCAAUGAACACAUGUUCCUCUACUUCAGGCGUUGGUUUGAUAGCCUCUUCUAUACGAAACUCAGGCGGUAUAAACGGCUCAAAGCUCUCAUCUUGUUUGUCUCCUGAAGCAACCGGGUCCGGUGGUGAUGACUGGCAAACCGUUGAACCAAUGGCUGUAACCGAAGUGUUUCUCUGUCCUCUAGCAGCUGCUUUACACAAAGCCAAAACCAAUAAGGACAUGAAAGUGUGGGAACGUAAUGAAACAUGAAAGAGUUAUAAACCUUCGAGUUCAUGGUUUGAUGUGAUGAGAUCUAGCUCCAAGAGAUCCAAAAGCCGACCAAGAUCGACCCCGCUUGUCCAGUUCUCAGGUUCUCGUCCUGCUAUCAGUUUCAGCCGUCCUCUGUUUGCUGUACCACCCCAAAUGAUCCCAACCGGUCGUGGUUUCUGACCGUUUGGACUAGUUAAGAGUAUAAGGCUUCCACUGUCACCUUCGAGGUCAAAAGUCUGCUGGUUCUCACCAAUGACUAGAAAAUCAGUGAGGAAACAGAUCCCUUUCUCGUCGUUGUAUUCCAAAGCAUAAGCCAUAACGGUUCCAGUGGUGUAUCCAGAGCUUCUUCCAACUUUAACAACUUGUUUACCGAUAAGGGUAUCAAUAGGUGAUUGCAAGUCUAUGACGUGGACGUUGCCUAUCUCACCUAUGCCCUUUAUCACUGUGGUUACAUUGCUCAUACUGAAAUUUUCUGCAAAGGGAAUAAAUGCACCAUCCGCUCUCACAAAUGUUUCUGCAUUGGGAUGGAUACAAAACAAUGGUCAGUACGAAACAAGGAUGUCCAAUGUCCCACAUACAUUGACUUGUAAUCAUGGUUCUAAAAAUCGGUUUAGACCCCGCCGAGGCAUUUGUUGCCGUCACCUCGGUUCUAUCCAAAACGAUUUUCUUAAAAUAUGAUUUUAUCGGUUUAAACUGUUUAGAUUUGUUAAAAUCGGACUAAAUCGAUCUAAAUUAAUUUAACUCUAUUAAAUUAAGUAAUAAAGUUAGUGCAAGUCCACAAAUUUGUAUAUUCUUUUUGUAUAUUUUGAUAAUUCAUUUAAAUAAUUUUAUAAUUAAUCCAAAAACUAAAACAUCUUAUAUAAAUAUAAAAUACAUCAAUUGUUCGUUAACCCCUAAUAGUUUAUAAUUAAUCCAAAUAACCCCUAGUUACCACCUAACAAUUUCUUGAACAUUGCUUGUGAUGGAAAUCAUAACAGGAGUACCUGGAUUUGUAUCAGCAAAUAUGCCGUACCACUGGUCAUCUGUAAUAAACGAUGUUGCUCUCUCAACUGCACCGAGGUAGACACCCGGUCCAAGGCUUGGAGGUAAAGGAUGAAACAUUUUCUGGCUUGGAUAGUCCAAAUCAACUGCCACAUGCCGGUUAGUAAGGAAACCGACCUGAUGGUUACCGGUUCUGCUUCUCACUAUAGCUCCCAACGUUCCAUACGUUUCUUGGCUUGCAACCUACACAAUGGAAAACAAAACUGAGUCUUUACUUUUGAGUUUUUGCAGAAGAGGGAGCAACAAUAAAAAGAAGAAGAAGUACCUGAGAACCAGAGCCGAUGCAUGGAUCACUUCCUCUCAAACCAUCUACAAGUUCAUUAUAAACCUGUUCCUUUGGCGUUGCAGCAGGAGCACCGUAAUAUUGGAACUCCACAACAUCUACAUCGCACCAAACCCCUCCAGGACCCUAUUAAGAAACCAACACAUCACCUAUCAUGCUCAUGUAUGUAGAAUGGAAUUAAAUUUCAAAGAUAACUAAACCUCAAGAGCGGAAGGAAGACACUGCAUUGGAUUAAGCCAUUGCCUAUGAACUUUCCUAGCAACAAACACGAGAAUCGCCGGAGUAUUUGUCAGAACACCACGCGUGAUCCUGAACCCAACUGCAGUACCAAGACUAAACCGGCGCAGGAUUUUACUAUGAAACGCUCUGAUAGUCAUGAGCUCAAGCAAGGUAGUGGCUUGCUGUCCUGAAGGCAACCUCCCAACGAUUUCAGGCAAAACACCUUUCUGGAGAUUAGCAAAGUAGUUAGCUCGGUCUUCCACAGCAUUGUUGAGGCGGCUGAGAGUAGGCCAGGAGAAGUAAGGGGCGUUGCUCUCUCCGUGCUGGAUGUUGAAUGCGAAUGGAUUAAGAGAAGAUGGGCUUGAAGAGGACGGAAGACUCAUGUGGUUGCAGUGAUGGUUGGUUCUCGCCAAAUCCGAAGCACGAACCUGAAAGAAAGAGAGCCAGAAAAAGUGUCUUUAGUAGGCUUGUUAUGCCUCCAAGAGAACCUGUUGCUGAAAAGGAUCCUUCUCCGGUCGCUGAACCAGUCAAUGAGGUAAUGGCGUUUCUAAACGAAUGUCAAAAACAUCUGAUGGAGCAAAAAAGACCAGAUACAGCUGAUCCUGUAAGGUUUGUUAAACCCAAGAAGAAAAAGGAAAAGAAUCAUUCAAAAGAGGCACUUGACAAUGGUGCGAUGAUUCCUUUUACCGAGACUAGUCCUGGUGAUAUGUCUGAUUGUGAAGAAGGGGUGGAACAUAAGCAACCAUUCAUCGACUUUAAGCGUCGUAGCCAAGCUGAAAAGAGCAAUCUAAAUCAAGAGUGUAAAGAGAGCCUCGAAGAUUCAGCUCCUCAGGACAAGAAAAGGAAGCUGCUGAGGCCAAGACUAAUCGAAGAUGACUCGGAAAAGAAUAGAGGAAACAAUGAUAAUCCUAUUGAAACUGACACGGCCCCAAAGUCAGCUACUGAAGUCCCCCUCCUUGAUCUCCUUGCACGGUUUGGUCAAUAACCAUUCACACUGAGAUGGAAACAUGGAAACAGUAAAGGACAGAACAAGGCCUCUAGGAGAGGAUAUGUAUCCAAUUGAAUGUGGGCGUUGAUCCUUGGCAGUUGUCUUUUAGUUUCUUCCUAAGAUGAAGGUGGUCAAUCUUUUUUAUCUGUAUCUUCAUAAACAUGGUGGUCAUAUCAUAUCUAGUAGCAUUGAACAAUGCUUACAUGCUUUGGCAAAAGAGCAGUUUCAAGUUAGGAUUGCUUUGGUUUUUUUUUGAUGGGAUUGCUUUCAAUCUCAUUACUAGAAUUUUGUAAAUGACUUUGCAUAAGGCAAUUGGUGAAGAGGAGGAAUCUCAAUUUUUAGGAUGAGACAGAGAUUUAUUUGUGUGGUUUAUUUUUAUUUCAUAAAGCAAAGAUAAACCAAUAUACAUGUCUCCUCAAGCUCUCAACCUCAAGGCUGCUAUGGAGAGAGACAGAAGUAACAAACAUUAAUGUAUCUAGUUCAUAGCGUUUGGUCCAAAGCAUCUGUUCCUAGUAAGAUCCCAAACCCAUUGAAUCAAAUAUUUUCUUCUUCCAACUCCAUUCACAUUAUACACACUUCUCCACCUAUCCUUGUACACAAUCCCCAUAUACCCACCUCCACCUCCUGAUCCAUACACUCCCAAACACAAAUCCGCUAUCUCGGUCGGCGCCAUUGCAUCUUCUCCUCCGUACCAUCCGUUCAACAUAGGGUUACUCGACACUUCCGCCAGCUCAUGAGCUAUCACACUGAUCAUCCCAUCGAUUCCCACCUCUCCAUUUGGUGGUUUCAUCUUCUCUCUGCUCACAAACCCGCUUCCUGGAAACGGUUUAGGCUGCGCAAAAGGGUACGCGCACAUCUCCGGACACUGUUUCCUACUGUUCCCGACCCACACGUACGGCACCGUUGCACCAACGAUGGUUGAGAAAGUGAAGUAAUGGAACCCGCAGAUGGCUCUGCAGAACUCUUGCAUCUCUACAUCGUCUGAGGUCAGGACCAUGUACAAGCCGUUGAGAGAGUUUAGUGGUAGCUUGUUGGCGACGGCAGUUCUGAUGAUGGACUGGACAGAGAAGCGACUGAGUUGAGAUCCAUGAGAGUAGGUUGAGUCGUGGAACUCUCCGGACAAGACAAGUGUUCUGGUGAUGUUGGAACCUGUUUGGUCUCUGUAAAGCCUCACCGUCUUCCACCAGUCGAAUACUGAAGGAUACCGUGCCGGUGAAGAGA